rnacentral:tRNA from 1 species
UAGUAAGUAGUAUAAGGGUAUUACGGAGAGUUUUGGGGUCUCAAAUGCGGGUUCAAAUCCUGUUUUACUAG